GUGCCAGCCGCCGCGGUAAUACAGAGGUGGCAAGCGUUGUUCGGAAUUACUGGGCGUAAAGGGCGCGUAGGCGGUCCCGUAAGUUCCGCGUGAAAUCCCCCGGCUCAACCGGGGAAUGGCGCGGAAGACUGCGGGGCUUGAGUUCGGGAGAGGGAAGCGGAAUUCCGGGUGUAGCGGUGAAAUGCGUAGAUAUCCGGAGGAACACCGGUGGCGAAGGCGGCUUCCUGGACCGACACUGACGCUGAGGCGCGAAAGCUAGGGGAGCAAACGGGAUUAGAAACCCGCGUAGUCC
rnacentral:rRNA from 1 species